GGGGAAGGGUGAGAACCUUCGAUUAAGGUUCGACUCGAGCGAAAGAACGUUGCCAACGGUAACGGCCCGUAGGGUGAGGAGUGAAGCGACGAAUAAUCCUUCCUCCACCACCA
rnacentral:sRNA from 9 species